rnacentral:rRNA from 1 species
UACGUAGGGCGCAAGCGUUGUCCGGAAUUAUUGGGCGUAAAGAGCUCGUAGGCGGCUUGUCACGUCGGGUGUGAAAGACCGGGGCUUAACCCCGGUUCUGCAUUCGAUACGGGCUAGCUAGAGUGUGGUAGGGGAGAUCGGAAUUCCUGGUGUAGCGGUGAAAUGCGCAGAUAUCAGGAGGAACACCGGUGGCGAAGGCGGAUCUCUGGGCCAUUACUGACGCUGAGGAGCGAAAGCAUGGGGAGCGAACAGG